GACGAACGCUGGCGGCGUGCUUAACACAUGCAAGUCGAACGGAAAGGCCCUGCUUUUGUGGGGUGCUCGAGUGGCGAACGGGUGAGUAACACGUGAGUAACCUGCCCUUGACUUUGGGAUAACUUCAGGAAACUGGGGCUAAUACCGGAUAGGAGCUCCUGCUGCAUGGUGGGGGUUGGAAAGUUUCGGCGGUUGGGGAUGGACUCGCGGCUUAUCAGCUUGUUGGUGGGGUAGUGGCUUACCAAGGCUUUGACGGGUAGCCGGCCUGAGAGGGUGACCGGCCGUAGGGAGACGGAGACGCGCCCCUGGCCCCUGGGGGAGGAAGCAGAGGAAAAAAUUGCGAUGUGGGCGGAAGCCUGGUAGAGCAACCCCGGUCGCGGGGAGGCGCCUUUUGGGUUGUAAACCCUUUGCCCGUGUGACGAGGUGUGUGAGACGGGGAGGUAAAAAAAGACCCCGGCUAACCAUG
rnacentral:rRNA from 1 species